GCAGAGAGCCUGAUGCGGGGCUCAAUCCCAGGACCCUGAGAUCAUGACCUGAGCCGAAGGCAGAAGCUUUAACCCACUGAGCCACCCAGGCGCCCCCCAACUACAUUUUAUAAGGAAUAGUGAACCUUCAAUACAUAUUUGCUGAAGGAAGGAAGGAAAGAGAAAAAGGCCAUUUCCGGAUGGGCUGGUCAUGGAAGAGUUCCUGAAAGAGGAGAUGUGAGCUCAGUCCCUGAGGACGGUUGAGUUUUAGAGGAAUGAGAAGAUAAGCAACAUUCCAGACAAGGAAUAAAGCACCAACUUAGCAUGCCUCUUCAUGGCAAGUUAGAUAAACAUGUUCUCUGAUUGCUAAAAAUUAACCUUCCACAAUAAAUAAAUGCCAUGUAACCAGACAUGUGAACAUACACAUAGCAGAAAAUUAACAGCAUACCUCUCCAAGAGGUAAUUUUGGGGCAAGAGGAAAAAAAAUAUAUUAUGCUAAUAAUAUAUUAUGCUAUAUAUUAUGCUAUAAAUGCUAAGAGACAGCAUUGAAAAAUAAACUAUUCCUUCUCCAAAAAGGAAACAUGACUAAAACAAAGACCACACCCUAAAAAGUUUUCCUCAAUUAUAUUGCUACAGACUAGUACAAUCAGGAGUGGAAAAUAUACCAUUUCCUGACAUGUCAAAGAGAUAUGAAUGAUUAGUGAUCACGUAGUCACAAAUUAGUGGUGGAUGCUGGUUCUCUCCUGAUGUAAAAGUUAUGUAAGUUCAGGUCUGUGUGAUCUCAUGGGGGCAAAGGUGUUACAAGUACACACAGAUCACUCACUCUGCACAUAAUACCUUCGCCCCAAAUAACCCUCUGUACCUUUUAUACAGUGAAAGAAUUACAGCUAUUAUUCUAGGCACUAGUCCCUAAAACACAGACUUGCUUGUCCUUUCAAGAAUUUUAAACUUAAGAAAAGGCAUGUGUUAUUCACAGAUGCAUAACAUAUGUAAAGAGUUUUUGUUAUAAUUUUUUCUUCAUUAAAAGCAUUUGUGCUUUCUAAAUGACAAGGGGCUUCGUGACUAUUCAAUCUAAACCCUAAAAAUUUUUUGCAGAUACUCAUAGGUAUAGGAUAGGACGGGAGAUGGACUGAGUGUUUACAUAUGCCUCUUAGAAAUGGUAAAUGAACCUAUGUUUUUUGAGGUGAACAAACUUAUGUAUAAACCUAACACCAGUCAAUGAACCUACACCUACAUUUUGCAUAAAGUGGAAACAACAUGAACUAAAGUAGACUGGGAAAAGUUAGGGACAUAUAGCUCGUCCCUACAGAAACCACUGGGGUUGGGGGGUGGCUGAAGGCAGGGGUUAGGGGUACAUGAGUGACUGAGGGAGAAGCAUGCCAAAUCCUUUUCCCAAAAAGCACUGAUGAAAUUGGACAAAACUAUCAAAAACGGCCAUUGCGGAACUCUGUAAACUGACCCAAGUCCUACAACAAAUUGAGAAGAAUUUGGUUGCGAUCAACUGUUGAACUUCAUUUCAGUAAGAUCAGUGGAAGUCUGUGGCGCUCUAGCCUGGGGCUGUUCCCUCCACCCCUUUUCCCAGCUCCCAGUGACUUAGCUCUACUCAGACAGCCUAGAUGAUGAGAGGCGGCCAGCGAGAGAGCUGAAAUCAGCAACAUAUAACAAAAAUGAUACAUUACGACCAAGUGGGAUUUACCCUAGGCAUGCAAGAUUGGUUCAGUAUCUAAAUAUCAUUUAAUAUAAUAUACCAUGUAAAGUACAAAAAGCACAUGAUCACCUCCAAGACCCAGAAAAAGCGUGAGACAAAAUCCAAUGCCUAUAUAGGAUAAAAACCCUCAGCAUACUAGGAAUCGAAAGGAACUUCCAUAAUCUAAUAAAGGGCACUUAUGAAAAAGAUGUAGCGAACAUCAUACUCAAUAGUGAAAGACUGAAUUUUUUUCCCACACUAGAUUGAGAAUAAGGUAGGGACUUUCACUCUUACCUCUUCAACAUUGCACUAGAAAUUCUAGCCAGGGCAAAUUGAGAAUUUAAGAAGGCACACUAGCAGAAAGGAAAACGCGAAACUUGUCUUUAUUCACAGACUUAUGAUUCUGUACAGAAAAUCUUAAAGCACGUGCGCGCACACACACAGACAUGCACAUACACUACUAAAAUGAGUAAAUCUGCAAAGUGUGGAAUACAAGAUCAACAUACAAAAAUGAAUAUUUCUAUAUACUAGCAAUGAACAACCCCCAAAUUGGGAAAUCUACAGUAUAGUCUUAAGAUAAAAAUGUAGCACCCCCCAAACUAGUUUAUAAUACAUAUAUACUCUGCACAAAUAUUCUCACAUACAUACGUGCGUGCUCACACGCGUUCAAUCACAGAAAAAUACUGGAAAUGGAAUGUAUAGUAGCUACCUGUAGGGAGUGGAAUGAUGGCUAAGUUCAAAUUCUUAACAUUAAUCAAGGUUUUUUAUUACUCAGAUUUUUAAUAGCGAACACCUGUGGCUUUUAUAGUGAGGAAACUAGUGGUAAAUGUUACUUUAAAUCCUUUCGCUCCUGGAAUUGAAAGUCUUCCCCAUUCUCUAGCUGGUACAGUGGUUGGAAAGGCAGUUUUGGGUGGCCAAGCAGGGUUGGAAUCAGGCCUCCGCCAUAUUCUGGCAUGAAACCUUGGGAAAUGGCUCAGCUUCUGAGUCCCAGUUUAUAACAUCAUCUACAAAAUGGCAUUUAUCUGAAGAAUGUUAUGAAGAUUAAGAGAAACUGUGCCUAAAGUGAUCGGUUCGACAGGACGCAGCUCAAUACCCGGUAACCAGUCUUCAUCACUGCCGCGGUUCAGAAAGACUUGGACUUGGCUGCGGCGAAAGGAUCCUUCUCUCCCGCUGUCUCUCUGCUCUGCCGGCUUCGCGUCGCCGGAGUCGGGCCUUCACCGGCCAGUCCCGAAGACGUGGAGCUGGAGGGAACCAGGGCCACUCCGCGCGAUUGGGGCCUCCGGCCGCUAGGGGACGUCAGCUCUUCGGGCCCUCCGUUGAGUUCACGGGCAGGACGUGCAGGGAGGUGAGCUGUGCUGCCGCGCUCGCCAGAGCCUUCCCAGGUGGGAGCAGAAGCUACGGUGAAUCCACGGAAGGGCCUUCCUCCUGGCCAUGGGGCGUUGGACGUGGAGACCUUGGGCCCUUCUGACAUCAGCAGGCGAAGCCUCCCGAUCGAAGUGACAUGGUUCUGCCCGCCCUCCGGAUUUCAACAGCAACCGUGACUUUCGCCGCGAGUUUGCCAACCUUACACGAGCACAGUUCAGUCUGAAAAACAGUAGAUCUAUGUACAUAAAAUCUUAAGGUCUGGAGUUAGCGUGCAUUUCUGUGAAAUAAAACUAUUCUCCUGGUGCCUGGGUGGCUCAGUAGGUUCAGUGUCUGCCUUUGGCUUUGGUCAUAACCUCAGGGUCCUGGAAUCCAGCCCCCCUCCCAGCUUGGCAGGGAGUCUGCUUGUCCCUCUCCCUCUGCCCUGCUCUGCUCUCAGCCUCUCUGUCUCAAACAAACAAACAAUAAAUAAAUAAUAUUUAUUUAUUUAUUUAUUUAUUUAUUUUGAGGGAGAAAGUGAAUUUGGGUGAGUGGAUCGGGGCACAGCGGGUAGCAGAGAGAGAAUCUUAAGCAAGCUCCAUGCCCAGCCCAGAGCCUUAGGGUCUCAGUACCCUAAGAUCAUGACCUGAGUCGAAAUCAGAACUCUGAGGCUUAAUCCACUGAGCCACCCAAGUGCCCCCUCAUGCCUUUUUUAAUAGCACAAUAUUUAAGAAUGAAGAAAAACCUUUAAAACCUUAAAGUUGUAAAUGUUGAUUGAACAUUUUAAGUACAAAUAUUGAAUGCAAGAAAAAUAAAU